rnacentral:misc_RNA from 1 species
GAUGAAGAACGUAGUGAAAUGCGAUAAGUAAUGUGAAUUGCAGAAUUCAGUGAAUCAUCGAAUCUUUGAACGCACAUUGCGCCCGCCAGUAUUCUGGCGGGCAUGCCUGUUCGAGCGUCAUUUCAACCAUCAAGCCCCAGGCUUGUGUUGGGGGCCUGCAGCUGCUGCAGCCCCCUAAAAGCAGUGGCGGACUCGCUGUCAUACCGAGCGCUGUAGUUACAUCUCGCUCUGGGCAUGGCGGCGGGCACCUGCCGUAAAACACUCUUUCUAAGGUUGACCUCGGAUCAGGUAGGAAUACCCGCUGAACUUAAGCAUAUCAAUAAGCGGAGGA